GUGAGAACUGCCAAACCUUUUACAUUCACAAGGUGUGAAACGGAAGAGAAAUGGCUUUUGACAAAAGGAUCACUCUAGAGACUGUUAAUCAUAGCAGCUACAGAUACCAGCAGUGGAAAAAGUGGAGGAGCAGAAAGGGAGCUCAACACAGGAAAGAAGACAACUCAAGAAGGAAAAGCAUUACAUUGCUUUGUAGGAACAUCAAAAAGGAAGCUGAAAAAUCUGGAGGAAGCUGGAGGAUGUUACACUGAGGAAGAAGAGACCAUGCAGAAAAGCAAAUUCUUUCUGAGUGCACCAGCACAAUCAGUGGAUGUAUUACUCAUAGACAGCCCUUGCAUGCAGGUAUGCCAAGAGGGAUCCCAGCUUGCAAUUCAGCAGAUGCCAUCCACAGGAAACAGACAUACUGUGACUGUCUCAUGUUGUGGCUGGGCAUGCAAGCAAGCAACUCUUCCUUGUAGAUUUUCCAAGGGCAAAAUGACUAACACUGCAUUAUAAUUGUGUUUAUAACAUUUUAAUGACAUCAUAAAAAUUCUUGCUCAGCUCAAAGAAACACCUUAUGAUGAGCAGGAAGCAGAAUUUUAAGUAAAAAUAAUUAACCUUGUUAUUUGGUAUAAAUAUAGCUUUGACAGUAUUAUACAUGUUCUAGUUGCCAAAGAUUUUAUUAAGUUGUAACUAUCGUAGAAUUCCCAGAUAUCAUCAGGCUUUCAUCUUGGUUCACAUUGUGGAAAUCCAAAAAGAUCUUGUCCCAGCUUCAUGAGUCUAUGUUAAAUGCUUUAAGUUUAUAUGAAAAAGAACUGUACAGUCACCCUAACCCCCCACCAUUUCUUGUCUCAGGCAUUAACAUUUCACUGAUAAUACUCGUUUCAUAAAUUUUGACAUUGCUGUUAAAUUAUUCAUAUGGUGUUAUAUGAAAACACAUGACAAUUUUUAAAAAAUGUAUUCGUCAAGCAUCUUGCAAUCGGCUAAGAUGCUGCUCUGCUGGUUAUUUUUCUGAAUCUUGCC
rnacentral:lncRNA from 1 species